UACAGAGGUCUCGAGCGUUGUUCGGAUUCAUUGGGCGUAAAGGGCGCGUAGGCGGCGGGGUAAGUCUGGUGUGAAAUCUCGGAGCUCAACUCCGAAAUUGCACUGGAUACUGCUCUGCUAGAGGGCUGGAGAGGAGAUCGGAAUUCACGGUGUAGCAGUGAAAUGCGUAGAUAUCGUGAGGAAGACCAGUGGCGAAGGCGGAUCUCUGGGCCGAUACUGACGCUGAGGAGCGAAAGCGUGGGGAGCGAACAGG
rnacentral:rRNA from 1 species